GACGAACGCUGGCGGCGUGCUUAACACAUGCAAGUCGAACGGAGUGGCGAACGGGUGAUUAACACGUGGGUGAUCUGUCUUGCACUUCGGGAUAAGCUUGGGAAACUGGGUCUAAUACCGGAUAGUGCAAGAUGAGCUCGCGGCCUAUCAGCUUGUUGGUGGGGUAAUGACCUACCCAGGCUUCGACGGGUAGCCGGCCUGAGAGGGUGUACGGCCACAAUGGGACUGAGAUACGGCGCAGACUCCUACGGGGGGCAGCGGUGGGGAGUAUUGCACAAUGGGCGGAAGCCUGAUGCGGCGACGCCGCGUGGGGGAUGAAGGCCUUCGGGUUGUAAACUCCUUUCGACAGGGACGCGGUACCUGUAUAAGAAGCACCGGCUAACUACGUGCCAGCAGCCGCGGUAAUUC
rnacentral:rRNA from 1 species